AGCUUGCUGGGUUGGAUGAGUGGCGAACGGGUGAGUAACACGUGAGUAACCUGCCCCCUUCUUUGGGAUAACGGUCGGAAACGGCUGCUAAUACCGGGUAUUCACUGUCCUUCGCAUGGGGGGUGGUGGAAAGGUUUUUUCUGGUGGGGGAUGGGCUCGCGGCCUAUCAGCUUGUUGGUGGGGUGAUGGCUUACCAAGGCUUUGACGGGUAACCGGCCUGAGAGGGUGACCGGUCACAUUGGGACUGAGAUACGGCCCAGACUCCUACGGGAGGCAGCAGUGGGGAAUAUUGCACAAUGGGCGAAAGCCUGAUGCAGCGACGCCGCGUGAGGGAUGACGGCCUUCGGGUUGUAAACCUCUUUCGCUCAUGGUCAAGCCGCAACAGUGGUUGUGGUGAGGGUAGUGGGUAAAGAAGCACCGGCUAACUACGUGCCAGCAGCCGCGGUAAUACGUAGGGUGCGAGCGUUGUCCGGAAUUAUUGGGCGUAAAGGGCUUGUAGGCGGUUUGUCGCGUCUGCCGUGAAAUCCUCUGGCUUAACUGGGGGCGUGCGGUGGGUACGGGCAGGCUUGAGUGCGGUAGGGGAGACUGGAACUCCUGGUGUAGCGGUGGAAUGCG
rnacentral:rRNA from 1 species